GAUGAACGCUAGCGGCAGGCUUAACACAUGCAAGUCGAGGGGUAACGAGAGGAAAGCUUGCUUUCCUUGUCGACGACCGGCGCACGGGUGAGUAACGCGUAUCCAACCUGCCCUCAACUAGGGAAUAACUUUGCGAAAGUAAGACUAAUACCCUAUAAUUUCCUCAGAUGUCAUCUGACGAGGAAUAAAGAUUUAUCGGUUGUGGAUGGGGAUGCGUCUGAUUAGCUUGUUGGCGGGGUAACGGCCCACCAAGGCAACGAUCAGUAGGGGUUCUGAGAGGAAGGUCCCCCACAUUGGAACUGAGACACGGUCCAAACUCCUACGGGAGGCAGCAGUGAGGAAUAUUGGUCGAUGGGCGGAAGCCUGAACCAGCCAAGUAGCGUGCAGGAUGACGGCCCUAUGGGUUGUAAACUGCUUUUAUACAGGAAUAAAGUUAGCCACGUGUGGUUAUUUGUAGGUACUGUAUGAAUAAGGACCGGCUAAUUCCGUGCCAGCAGCCGCCGUAA
rnacentral:rRNA from 1 species